GACGUAGGGCGCGAGCGUUUGUCCGGAUUUAUUGGGCGUAAAGAGCUCGUAGGCGGCUUGUUGCGUCGGCUGUGAAAACCCAUGGCUCAACCGUGGGCUUGCAGCCGAUACGGGCAGGCUAGAGUUCGGUAGGGGAGACUGGAAUUCCUGGUGUAGCGGUGAAAUGCGCAGAUAUCAGGAGGAACACCGAUGGCGAAGGCAGGUCUCUGGGCCGAUACUGACGCUGAGGAGCGAAAGCGUGGGGAGCGAACAGG
rnacentral:rRNA from 1 species